rnacentral:rRNA from 1 species
GAUGAACGCUGGCGGCGUGCCUAAUACAUGCAAGUCGAGCGAACGGACGAGAAGCUUGCUUCUCUGAUGUUAGCGGCGGACGGGUGAGUAACACGUGGAUAACCUACCUAUAAGACUGGGAUAACUUCGGGAAACCGGAGCUAAUACCGGAUGAUAUUUUGAACCGCAUGGUUCAAAAGUGAAGGACGGUCUUGCUGUCACUUAUAGAUGGAUCCGCGCUGCAUUAGCUAGUUGGUAAGGUAACGGCUUACCAAGGCAACGAUGCAUAGCCGACCUGAGAGGGUGAUCGGCCACACUGGAACUGAGACACGGUCCAGACUCCUACGGGAGGCAGCAGUAGGGAAUCCUCCGCAAUGGGCGAAAGCCUGACGGAGCAACGCCGCGUGAGUGAUGAAGGUCUUCGGAUCGUAAAACUCUGUUAUUAGGGAAGAACAUAUGUGUAAGUAACUGUGCACAUCUUGACGGUACCUAAUCAGAAAGCCACGGCUAACUACGUGCCAGCAGCCGCGGUAAUACGUAGGUGGCAAGCGUUAUCCGGAAUUAUUGGGCGUAAAGCGCGCGUAGGCGGUUUUUUAAGUCUGAUGUGAAAGCCCACGGCUCAACCGUGGAGGGUCAUUGGAAACUGGAAAACUUGAGUGCAGAAGAGGAAAGUGGAAUUCCAUGUGUAGCGGUGAAAUGCGCAGAGAUAUGGAGGAACACCAGUGGCGAAGGCGACUUUCUGGUCUGUAACUGACGCUGAUGUGCGAAAGCGUGGGGAUCAAACAGGAUUAGAUACCCUGGUAGUCCACGCCGUAAACGAUGAGUGCUAAGUGUUAGGGGGUUUCCGCCCCUUAGUGCUGCAGCUAACGCAUUAAGCACUCCGCCUGGGGAGUACGACCGCAAGGUUGAAACUCAAAGGAAUUGACGGGGACCCGCACAAGCGGUGGAGCAUGUGGUUUAAUUCGAAGCAACGCGAGGAACCUUACCAAAUCUUGACAUCCUUUGACAACUCUAGAGAUAGAGCCUUCCCCUUCGGGGGACAAAGUGACAGGUGGUGCAUGGUUGUCGUCAGCUCGUGUCGUGAGAUGUUGGGUUAAGUCCCGCAACGAGCGCAACCCUUAAGCUUAGUUGCCAUCAUUAAGUUGGGCACUCUAAGUUGACCGCCGGUGACAAACCGGAGGAAGGUGGGGAUGACGUCAAAUCAUCAUGCCCCUUAUGAUUUGGGCUACACACGUGCUACAAUGGACAAUACAAAGGGCAGCGAAACCGCGAGGUCAAGCAAAUCCCAUAAAGUUGUCCUCAGUUCGGAUUGUAGUCUGCAACUCGACUACAUGAAGCUGGAAUCGCUAGUAAUCGUAGAUCAGCAUGCUACGGUGAAUACGUUCCCGGGUCU